rnacentral:rRNA from 1 species
GGGAAGAAAGUGACGGUACCUGAAUAAGAAGCCCCGGCUAACUACGUGCCAGCAGCCGCGGUAAUACGUAGGGGGCAAGCGUUAUCCGGAUUUACUGGGUGUAAAGGGAGCGUAGACGGUUUUGCAAGUCUGAAGUGAAAGCCCGGGGCUUAACCCCGGGACUGCUUUGGAAACUGUAGGACUAGAGUGCAGGAGAGGUAAGUGGAAUUCCUAGUGUAGCGGUGAAAUGCGUAGAUAUUAGGAGGAACACCAGUGGCGAAGGCGGCUUACUGGACUGUAACUGACGUUGAG